rnacentral:rRNA from 1 species
GGCCUUUUGUUUAUGAUUUAAGGUCUAGCCUGCCCAAUGAGAUUUUGAAUGGCCGCGGUAUUUUAACCGUGCAAAGGUAGCAUAAUCAUUAGUUUUUUAAUUAAAAGCUGGUAUGAAUGGUUGAAUGAAAAAAUAACUGUCUCUAUUUAAAUUUUUUAGAAUUUUAUUUUUAAGUAAAAAAGCUUAAAUUAUAUUAGAAGACGAGAAGACCCUGUAGAGUUUAAUUAAUUAUUAUAAUAGGAUUUUUAGUAUUCUUAUUUUUAUUAUUUAUAAUUAAUUUAGUUGGGGUGAUUUAAAAAUUUAAUAAACUUUUUUUAUAUUUAUACAUUAAUUUAUGAUUGCUUGAUCCUUAUUUUAAGAUUAAAAGAUAAAAUUACCUUAGGGAUAACAGCGUAAUUUUUUUAGAGAGUUCUAAUCGAAAAAAAAGAUUGCGACCUCGAUGUUGGAUUAAAAUAAAAAUUUGGUGUAGAAGCUAAAGUAUUUAGGUCUGUUCGACCUUUAAAAUUUUACAUGAUCUGAGUUUAAACCGGCGUAAGCCAGGUUGGUUUCUAUCUCUAUUUUAAAUAAAUAUUUUAGUACGAAAGGACCAAAUAUUAGGUUUAAAAUUUUAUAUUUGAAUAUAAUU